rnacentral:rRNA from 1 species
UACGUAGGGUGCGAGCGUUAAUCGGAAUUACUGGGCGUAAAGUGUGCGCAGGCGGUUUUGUAAGUCAGAUGUGAAAUCCCCGGGCUUAACCUGGGAACUGCGUUUGAAACUACAAGGCUAGAGUGUGGCAGAGGGGGGUGGAAUUCCACGUGUAGCAGUGAAAUGCGUAGAGAUGUGGAGGAACACCGAUGGCGAAGGCAGCCCCCUGGGUUAACACUGACGCUCAGGCACGAAAGCGUGGGGAGCAAACAGG